GACCCGAACCCAAAAUCUCCACCUUGCCGGGGUGUUGCUCUAACCAAUUGAGCUACCGUGGACAUUUUAAUUUCAGAUCUAAUUUCGAACCGUUGUUACAUUACUGAAGCUUUACAAAUUUUUGAAAAU